CCUACGGGUGGCUGCAGUGAGGAAUAUUGCACAAUGGACGAAAGUCUGAUGCAGCGACGCCGCGUGGGUGAAGAAGGCCUUCGGGUCGUAAAGCCCUUUUCUGUGUGACGAGAGAGGACGGUAGCACAGGAAAAAGUCUCGGCUAACUACGUGCCAGCAGCCGCGGUAAAACGUAGGAGGCAAGCGUUAUCCGGAGUUACUGGGCGUAAAGCGUGCGUAGGCGGAUGGGUAAGUGGGUCGUGAAAGCGCCGGGCUAAACCGGGCGAGGACGAACU
rnacentral:rRNA from 1 species